UGCAGCCUUGUCAAAUUCCAUGUUUUCUCUACAAUGGACUGUACUGGCCAAAAUGGCUGCCACAGUGAGUAAUUCAUGAGCCCCACAUCCCUCUGGCAUGUUUGCUGGGGAUAAAUGUGUUCUACAGACAAUU
ensembl:snoRNA